rnacentral:lncRNA from 1 species
CACGUAGAAUUCCGGACUGUUCAACCUACGCGGGACCCCGGGGUCUCCCCCACCAGCCUCCCCCACCCCUCCCCUCCCCCACCCCACCCCACCCCACCCCACCCCUCCUCCUUGCCCGCGAGCAAACCGAGGCUUCCGCGGGGCCAGGAAGGAAACCGGCCACACCACUGGGGCGCAACUCAGAAGUGUGUGCUCCGGCGUCCAGGCGCCGCAACGACAAGAAAACGAAACUGCCUGGGAAUUCGUGUUUUUCUUCUCCUUCUAGCAGGAAACGAGAGAGAAAAUAGGAAGCAGAAGCGGCGCGCGCCCCCCGCCCCGCGCCCCGCGCCCCCCGCCCCGCGCCCUGGCGGCGCGCGCUCCAGGCUGCGCGCGUGUCCGCGGCGCGUCCCCGGCCGGGCCCGCGCGCCUCGUGCCUCGCGCCUCGCGCCUCGAGCCACGUCCCCGCCCCGGGCCCGGCGCGCCGCGGAGUCGGCUGCUGGGCGGCGCGGGCCUGGGUGUGGCCGGCGGCUGUCGGCGGCGCUGGUCUCGGCGGGGCGCUGCGCUCCGGGGGCUGCUGAGCUCUCCGCAGACUCGCGCCGCGGCCGGUCGACGCGGGCCCGGCUCCUCCAGGUGGGCGGCGGCUCGUCGGGGCGCCCCGCGGGGCGUGGGGGGCGCCGGGGCUCCCCGCUGCGGGGCGUGGGGGGCGUGGGGGGCGCCUCGGGGCCGCCCCGCCGGAACCCGCCCGGCGGCGGCGUGGGGACGGCCGGGCCGGGCGCCCUGGGCUGCGGAGCCUGCCCGGAGGCUCGGUGGACGGGGCGGGCGCGGGGCGGGCGCGGGGCGGGCGCGGCUGGGCGCUCCCUGGGCGGCUCGGAGCGCUGGCCCCGGGGGGCGCGGGGGCGGCCUGCGGGCCCCCGGCCGGUGCCUGCGCCCCGAGGCCUCGCGGGGGCACUCGGGGCUGGCGCUCGCGGUUGCCCCGAAAAGCGCGGUCCUGCGGGGCCGCCCAGCGGGGUUCCUGGGAGGGGAGCUCUGGGAAGCCUCGUAAAAGUUUUCCGCUGA